rnacentral:rRNA from 1 species
GACGAACGCUGGCGGCGUGCUUAACACAUGCAAGUCGAACGAAGUGGCGAACGGGUGAGUAACGCGUAAUCAACCUGCCCUUCAGAGGGGGACAACAGUUGGAAACGACUGCUAAUACCGCAUACUGAAGGAGGGGAUUGCGGCUGAUUAGCUCGUUGGGGGGGUAACGGCCCACGAAGGCGAUGGGUAGUAGCCGGUCUGGGAGGAUGAACGGCCACCAUGGGACUUUGACACGGCCCAGACUCCUUCGGGAGGCAUCAGUGGGGAAUCUUCCGCAAUGGACGAAAGUCUGACGGAGCAACGCCGCGUGAGUGAUGACGGCCUUCGGGUUGUAAAACUCUUUUAAUCGGGACGCGGUACCGGAAUAGAAAGCCACGGCUAACUACGUGCCAGCCGCCACGGUAAUAC